AGCCCGCCUACUCUACGCGCGCGCGUCUCAGGCUCAAGGGAGCUGAAUCCAGUACCACGGUGGCGUUUCCCCCGGGCUGAUUAAGGCGGGACUCUCCCGAGUCCGCUGCGGGCGGGCUCCCCGCGCGUGUCACGUCCAGCCAUGAAGUUUCGGGCCAAGAUCGUGGAUACCGCCUGUCUAAACCACUUCACGCGAGUUAGUAACAUGAUAGCCAAGCUUGCCAAAACCUGCACUCUGCGCAUCAGCCCGGAUAAGUUGAACUUCGUCCUCUCUGACAAAGUGGCCAAUGGAGGGGUGAGCAUGUGGUGUGAGCUGGAACAGGAGAACUUCUUUAGCGAAUUUCAAAUGGAAGGUGUCUCCGCAGAAAACAAUGAGAUUUACUUAGAGCUAACAUCGGAAAAUUUAUCUCGAGCCUUGAAAACUGCCCAGAAUGCCAGAGCUUUGAAAAUUAAGUUGACUAAUAAACACUUUCCGUGCCUUACAAUUUCUAUAGAGCUGUUAUCCAUGUCAAGCAGUAGUCGUGUUGUGACACAUGACAUCCCUGUGAAGGUUAUUCCUAGAAAACUAUGGACGGACUUACAAGAGCCGACGGUCCCAGAUGCUGACGUUAGUAUUUAUUUACCAGUCUUGAAGACUAUGAAGAGCGUUGUGGAGAAGAUGAAAAACAUCAGCAGUCACCUUAUUAUUGAAGCAAACCUAAAUGGAGAAUUGAACUUGAAAAUAGAAACUGAGCUAGUGUGUGUUACAACUCACUUUAAAGAUCUUGGAAAUCCUCCAUUAGCUUCCGAAAAUGCUUCUCAAGAUAGAAACUCAGAACAAAUGGCUGAAGUGCACAUAGACAUUAGGAAGCUCCUACAGUUCCUUGCUGGACAACAAGUAAAUCCUACAAAGGCCACUUGCACGGAUGAGAAGAGACACUGCUCCUGACCUUGGGAGAGUCCCAGGGAGUAUUCCCUCUAAUCCUUUUCUGCAGUUCUUCCCCAGGCUGUGUCAUGGGGUUUCACUGUAAGUGCCCACAGUUCUGCUCUCUCAGAUGAACUCCGUUUGACCUUUUGACUGUUAGUUCCAUUCUUGUUAUUUGUACCCUGUACAAGUCAAUGUACCAUGUUUUCCCUCUACUCACCAUUUAAUUGUGCAUCCACAUACAGCUUUUGCGUGCUUCUCGAUCUUCCAUCUUCUCUCUGGGCCUAUUUUUGUUUUACUGGAAAAUAAACUAUUUCCUAUGGUGCCGGCAACUGA